rnacentral:rRNA from 14 species
UUCAGAUGCCGGGUGAUUGCCGCGAGCUGAGGAGCUGACGCUGCAGAGCCCCCGUCUGUGGGACUACGGCUCAAUGGCCCAAAGUCGGAACUCGUG